AUUGAACGCUGGCGGAAUGCUUUACACAUGCAAGUCGAACGGCAGCACGGGGGCAGCCCUGGUGGCGAGUGGCGAACGGGUGAGUAAUACAUCGGAACGUGCCCGGUCGUGGGGGAUAACGUAGCGAAAGUUACGCUAAUACCGCAUACGAUCUGAGGAUGAAAGCGGGGGACCUUCGGGCCUCGCGCGAUCGGAGCGGCCGAUGUCAGAUUAGGUAGUUGGUGGGGUAAAGGCCUACCAAGCCGACGAUCUGUAGCUGGUCUGAGAGGACGACCGGCCACACUGGGACUGGGACACGGCCCAGACUCCUACGGGAGGCAGCAGUGGGGAAUUUUGGACAAUGGGCGCAAGCCUGAUCCAGCCAUUCCGCGUGCAGGACCAAGGCCUUCGGGUUGUAAACUGCUUUUGUACGGAACGAAAAGGCUCUGGCUAAUACCUGGGGCUCAUGACGGUACCGUAAGAAUAAGCACCGGCUAACUACGUG
rnacentral:rRNA from 1 species